CGCUUCGGGACCGCAGGGUAGGUGGGCUGCCACAGACCAGGGGGCAGGAAAGGGUGAGGGGUUAAAGGUCAGAGGUUAAAUCUGGCCCCCUGUCUUCUUUUCUGUCUGGGUUCUCUCUGAUCUAGAUCUCUGGGAGGGCAGGAGCGUCUGACCUGACCAGAGGGGUAGGAACCUGGGGUGUGUGUCUGAGUGUGAGUGUGUGUUUGUGUGUGUUACCCCUUGUGAUUGGUGAAAAUUCUGUGUGACUUUGGUGAAUUUGCAUGCGGGGAGAAAUCUGUAGUUCACUGACUGUUCAAUGUAAACAUCUUCUUCACACACUCUGAUUAAAAACAGUGUGUUCCAAUGGUUUACGUGUGCUUGGCAUGUGUGAGGCCUCUUGCCCAAUUCCAAAUGGAUCCCAAUUUAAUGGACGUAUUGGAUAGGUGUGUAAGCAAUAUUACAAAAGUGACUUGAAGGUAGGGACUCAGGAUUGAUUUAGGAUUGGGCUUGAGUCUUCCAGUCAGAGUGUGUCCAAUCAGUGGGGCUGUGGGAGAGGUGGGUGGAGCUGAGCUCUGGUGUGUAGUGAUGGUGAUGUCUAGUCAUUGAGCUCUGGUGUGUAGUGAUGGAGAUGUCUAGUCAUUGAGCUCUGGUGUGUAGUGAUGGUGAUGUCUAGUCAUUGAGCUCUGGUGUGUAGUGAUGGAGAUGUCUAGUCAUUGAGCUCUGGUUUGAAGUGAUGGAGAUGUCUAGUCAUUGAGCUCUGGUGUGUAGUGAUGGAGAUGUCUAGUCAUUGAGCUCUGGUGUGAAGUGAUGGAGAUGUCUAGUCAUUGAGCUCUGGUGUGUAGUGAUGGAGAUGUCUAGUCAUUGAGCUCUGGUGUGUAGUGAUGGAGAUGUCUAGUCAUUGAGCUCUGGUGUGAAGUGAUGGUGUGUAGUGAUGGUGAUGUCUAGUCAUUGAGCUCUGGUGUGUAGUGAUGGAGAUGUCUAGUCAUUGAGCUCUGGUGUGUAGUGAUGGAGAUGUCUAGUCAUUGAGCUCUGGUGUGUAGUGAUGGAGAUGUCUAGUCAUUGAGCUCUGGUGUGUAGUGAUGGAGAUGUCUAGUCAUUGAGCUCUGGUGUGUAGUGAUGGAGAUGUCUAGUCAUUGAGCUCUGGUGUGUAGUGAUGGUGUGUAGUGAUGGUGAUGUCUAGUCAUUGAGCUCUGGUGUGUAAUGAUGGAGAUGUUUAGUCAUUGAGCUCUGGUGUGUAGUGAUGGAGAUGUCUAGUCAUUGAGCUCUGGUGUGAAGUGAUGGUGAUGUCUAGUCAUUGAGCUCUGGUGUGUAGUGAUGGAGAUGUCUAGUCAUUGAGCUCUGGUGUGUAGUGAUGGAGAUGUCUAGUCAUUGAGCUCUGGUGUGAAGUGAUGGUGAUGUCUAGUCAUUGAGCUCUGGUGUGUAGUGAUGGUGUGUAGUGAUGGUGGUGUCUAGUCAUUGAGCUCUGUCAUUGAGCUCUGGUGUGUAGUGAUGGUGAUGUCUAGUCAUUGAGCUCUGGUGUGUAGUGAUGGAGAUGUCUAGUCAUUGAGCUCUGGUGUGUAGUGAUGGAGAUGUCUAGUCAUUGAGCUCUGGUGUGUAGUGAUGGAGAUGUCUAGUCAUUGAGCUCUGGUGUGUAGUGAUGGAGAUGUCUAGUCAUUGAGCUCUGGUGUGUAGUGAUGGUGUGUAGUGAUGGUGAUGUCUAGUCAUUGUGAUGUCUAGUAAUAGUGAGGUCAUUAGUGGGGUCAGGAGUCAAGCCCAAACACACGUCUGUAGAAACUAAAGGUGUUCGUUGAGGAGGGUGGUUGUUGCAGAAGCCUCUCCUAGAAACAAACUACGGCCGGACCAUGUCACACAGCCAUUGUAGACGACUGGGAAGCACACUGUAGUCUGCUUACAGCGGCCGUCUUUAGAGGGGACCAGGGGAUCUGUAGUUCUCUGUGUGCCGUGUUGGGCAUGUGUCCUUUCCGUGUCCUUGCCUUGGCGUGUUGUCUAACUACCCCCCCCACCCC
rnacentral:lncRNA from 1 species